rnacentral:rRNA from 1 species
GCGAAAGCCCCUUCGGGGGUGAGUAGAGCGGCGCAAGGGCGAGGAAUGCGUUCCUACGUACCCCGAGGUCAGGGAUAGCCCAGGGAAACCUGGAUUAAUACCUGAUGUGGUCCUUCGGGAUCAAAGGCUUGCUGCCUCGGGAGCGGGGAACGCCCUAUCAGGUUGUUGGUGGGGUAACGGCUCACCAAGCCGAAGACGGGUAGCGGGUGUGAGAGCAUGACCCGCCGCAUCGGGACUGUGACACUGCCCGGACUCCUACGGGAGGCUGCAGUAACGAAUCUUCCGCAAUGCGCGAAAGCGUGACGGAGCAAUGCCGCGUGCAGGAUGAAGCCCUUCGGGGUGUAAACUGCUGUCAGGGUUUAGGAACACAAUGACCAGACCCAAAGGAAGGGCCGGCUAACUUCGUGCCAGCAGCCGCGGUAAUACGAAGGGCCCGAGCGUUAAUCAGAAUCAUUGGGCUUAAAGCGUACGUAGGCGGGCGCGCAGGCACCUUGUGAAAUCCCUCGGCUCAACCGAGGAAUUGCUUGGUGAACCGCGUGCCUUGAGACAAGUAGGGGCUGUCGG